CGACGGGUGAGUAACACGUGGGUGAUCUGCCCUGCACUUCGGGAUAAGCUUGGGAAACUGGGUCUAAUACCGGAUAGGAGCCAUCUUUAGUGUGGUGGUUGGAAAGUUUUUUCGGUGUAGGAUGAGCUCGCGGCCUAUCAGCUUGUUGGUGGGGUAAUGGCCUACCAAGGCGGCGACGGGUAGCCGGCCUGAGAGGGUGUACGGCCACAUUGGGACUGAGAUACGGCCCAG
rnacentral:rRNA from 1 species